AAGGUCCACCCAGGCUUCCCGGACCCAAGACCCACUGUAGUGCAUGAAGGUACACCUGAGCCGCCCACCCAUGAAAUGAUCGUCACAGCUGCUGAAUUGGAAGUAAGUUCAUCAACCAUCCUGAGCCUUGGUUUCCUCAUCUAUAAAAUGGGGAUGAUACCAGUGCCUGCUUCUCUGGCCGCUGGGGGAGAUUAACUGAGAUGAUACAUGGAAAGUACUUUUGUGCAGAACCUUGCACAUAACGAGUCCUCCGUAAGUGGAGGAGUCUGCUUUCCCAGAACCACAUGGCUGUCCCAAAGGAAGAAACAGCGGGGAAAGGGGGACACAUAUGAGAAGACAACUAAGG